AGUGAACGCUGGCGGUAGGCCUAACACAUGCAAGUCGAACGGCAGCACAGUAAGAGCUUGCUCUUACGGGUGGCGAGUGGCGGACGGGUGAGGAAUACAUCGGAAUCUACUUUUUCGUGGGGGAUAACGUAGGGAAACUUACGCUAAUACCGCAUACGACCUACGGGUGAAAGCAGGGGAUCUUCGGACCUUGCGCGAUUGAAUGAGCCGAUGUCGGAUUAGCUAGUUGGCGGGGUAAAGGCCCACCAAGGCGACGAUCCGUAGCUGGUCUGAGAGGAUGAUCAGCCAAACUGGAACUGAGACACGGUCCAGACUCCUACGGGAGGCAGCAGUGGGGAAUAUUGGACAAUGGGCGCAAGCCUGAUCCAGCCAUACUGCGUGGGUGAAGAAGGCCUUCGGGUUGUAAAGCCCUUUUGUUGGGAAAGAAAAGCAGCAGGUUAAUACCCCGCUGUUCUGACGGUACCCAAAGAAUAAGCACCGGCUAACUUCGU
rnacentral:rRNA from 1 species